AAUCCAUAGGUUAAUGAGGCGAACCGGGGGAACUGAAACAUCUAAGUACCCCGAGGAAAAGAAAUCAACCGAGAUUCCCCCAGUAGCGGCGAGCGAACGGGGAGGAGCCCAGAGCCUGAAUCAGCAUGUGUGUUAGUGGAAGCGUCUGGAAAGGCGCGCGAUACAGGGUGACAGCCCCGUACACAAAAGCGCAUGUGCUGUGAGCUCGAUGAGUAGGGCGGGACACGUGGUAUCCUGUCUGAAUAUGGGGGGACCAUCCUCCAAGGCUAAAUACUCCUGACUGACCGAUAGUGAACCAGUACCGUGAGGGAAAGGCGAAAAGAACCCCGGCGAGGGGAGUGAAAAAGAACCUGAAACCGUGUACGUACAAGCAGUGGGAGCCCCACCACUAAGCCAGUGGUGAACUCCACAUACGCAUCCUUUGCUGAGGAUACGGUU
rnacentral:rRNA from 1 species